GUGAUAUGCAUUGUGAAUUGCAGAAUUCCGUGAGCCAAUAGAUGUUUGAACGUAAUUUGCACCUUCG
rnacentral:rRNA from 1 species